AUGAACGCUGGCGGCGUGCCUAAUACAUGCAAGUCGAACGAAUCUCUUCGGAGAUGAGUGGCGAACGGGUGAGUAAUACAUAGGUAACCUGCCCCUGUGCGGGGGAUAACAGGAGGAAACUCCUGCUAAUACCGCAUAGCCAUGAGCACCGCAUGGAGCUCAUGCCAAAUAUCCUUUCGGGGAUAGCGCAGGGAUGGACCUAUGGCGCAUUAGCUUGUUGGCGGGGCAACGGCCCACCAAGGCAACGAUGCGUAGCCGGCCUGAGAGGGCGGACGGCCACAUUGGGACUGAGACACGGCCCAGACUCCUACGGGAGGCAGCAGUAGGGAAUUUUCGGCAAUGGGGGAAACCCUGACCGAGCAACGCCGCGUGAGCGAAGAAGGCCUUCGGGUCGUAAAGCUCUGUUGUAAAGGAAGAACGGCGCAUACAGGAAAUGGUAUGCGAGUGACGGUACUUUACCAGAAAGCCACGGCUAACUACGUGCCAGCAGCCGCGGUAAUACGUAGGUGGCGAGCGUUAUCCGGAAUCAUUGGGCGUAAAGAGGGAGCAGGCGGCCGCAAGGGUCUGUGGUGAAAGACCGAAGCUAAACUUCGGUAAGCCAUGGAAACCGGGCGGCUAGAGUGCGGAAGAGGAUCGUGGAAUUCCAUGUGUAGCGGUGAAAUGCGUAGAUAUAUGGAGGAACACCAGUGGCGAAGGCGACGGUCUGGGCCGCAACUGACGCUCAUUCCCGAAAGCGUGGGGAGCAAAUAGGAUUAGAUACCCUAGUAGUCCACGCCGUAAACGAUGGUCACUAAGUGUCGGGGGUCAAACCCCGGUGCUGCAGUCAACGCAAUAAGUGACCCGCCUGAGUAGUACGUUCGCAAGAAUGAAACUCAAAGGAAUUGACGGA
rnacentral:rRNA from 1 species